rnacentral:rRNA from 1 species
UGGGGAAUCUUCCGCAAUGGGCGAAAGCCUGACGGAGCGACGCCGCGUGAGUGAAGAAGGUCUUCGGACCGUAAAGCUCUUUUGUUGCAGGCGAAAGGACUUAAGAGGAAAUGCUUAAGUUAAGACGGUAUGGAACGAAUAAGCCACGGCUAACUACGUGCCAGCAGCCGCGGUAAUACGUAGGUGGCAAGCGUUGUCCGGAAUUAUUGGGCGUAAAGGGAGCGCAGGCGGAAGGACAAGCCGGAUUUGAAAGUUCGGGGCUCAGCCCCGUGAGGGAUCCGGAACUGUUCUCCUUGAGAGCGGGAGAAGGAAGCGGAAUUCCUGGUGUAGCGGUGAAAUGCGUAGAUAUCAGGAAGAACACCAGUGGCGAAAGCGGCUUUCCGGACCGAAUCUGACGCUGAGGCUCGAAAGCCAGGGGAGCGAACGGG